CCACCUUUUGGAAUACUUUUACAUAAUUUAAUACGUCUUUGUUUGACUGCUUGGUUAAGAUUUAAGCACAUUUGGGCAUUGCGAACACCCAACAAUUGAUUCCACACUUCUAGCGUAGAGGAAUUGCCUUCAAGUAUUAACAACAUUUGCUGGUCUAUCCUGACGAAAGCUCCUCAAUCCAUUUGAACUAAAUCAUUCUUCAGGUACACAAAAGCCAAUUGACAAGUUGAAAUGGCGACAAAGGAUUUCAAUUCAAACGACGAUGAAGCAGUCAAUAUAGAGUGUAGGAGUCUUUAUGUGGCUGCGAUGAAUGGUGACUGGAAAUCUGUUAAGGACAUGCCAAACAUUGAAAGAAAAAUUACAAAGAAAGGAGAAACCACUCUUCAUAUUGCUGCUGCAGCAAACUAAGAAGAGUUUGUGAAGAAUUUAGUGAAUAGAUUGAGCUGCGAAAACCUAACAGCUGAAAACAUUGUUGGGAACACUGCUUUGACCUAUGCUGCUGCAACUGGAAAUGUGAAUAUUGCCAAGGCGAUGUUGAAGAAAAAUAGUAACCUGCCAAAUCUAGGUAGUAGGGUGAAACCACUCUUUAUGGCUGCUUCGUUAGGACACAGUCAAAUGGUGCAGUUUCUUUAUUCUCAGACUAAAGAGAUAGUUUGCGGGUGGGAUGAAAAUGAACAAGCUAAACUAUUUAUCAGUUGUGUUGAGGGUAACUU